rnacentral:lncRNA from 1 species
UUGUAGAUGAGGGGGGAGCCCCUGGGUUCAGCUAAAAGCUUUCUGUGCUCCCCCCAGCCCGCGGUGCUGUUGUACAGGGUUUUUUUUAAAUAAAGGGAGGUCUGGGGAGUUCUGUGGGGUCAGGGCUGGGCCGUGCCCCCGAGCACUGAGGGGGGGCACAGAAAGAGGCUGCCACACCACAACAGCUAAUGAAACCCGGGGAUGUCUGUUGGGCCCUCCCUUUUACACCCCAUGGGGCCAUUUUGUGUGUGGGGGGUGUUUUUCCCCCCCAAAUAACCCUACAAGCCACCCAAUAGGGCAUGUGCUCACCCAGCUCCUUCUGUCCCGUUGCCCUCACGUCUGUCUCUGUCUCUAUCUCACAGGUUGCGUAUUUGUGAGCCCAAGGGGAGGAAGGCGGCCCUGGCGCUCCUUGUCCGGCGGUCAUUUCCUCAGUGGAAGGCUCGAGCUUCAAAAAAUGAGUCAGGCUGGUGAAGAUUCCAGUUCUAGUGACACAGAAUUGGAAAUCAAGGAGGAGCAACCCAUCUGUGCACUAGCUCCAACUGUUUAUGCCCAAGAUGAGGGAUCAACUGAUGUAACAGCGAGUCCUGCAUUUCAGUGCUUAGAUGAGGUACCAUGCACCCUAUCUUUCUCUAUCUAUAGCAGUGCAUAUUGUGUUAAAAACAAUUAGCCUGAAAUGUGUAUUUCAUUGUUAAUAGUUACCAUAGGCUAUCUGGAGCUUCCCUAUUUCUUCUCUAAUUUUUAUUCUAAGUUAUAUGAACUCAAUUCAUAUAACUUAGUUUUGUGAAGUAUAAGCAGAGCAUAUAUUUCUUGCUGGAGAUGGUGUGCUUAAGGGAUAUCCAUGUUAUUUCUGUCAGUGGUCAUGGCUUUAAGGGGCAUGGACUUACAGAGAUCUUGUUUUUUUUGUAGCAUGUUAGGUAUAGAGGUUAUUGCCUCACAAAUUUAAAAAGACUUGAUAACUACAUGAAAAACCGCAGCUAAGUGGCUCCAUCAGUGAAUCGCUGAUGACAAUAGAAGAAACCUUCUGGAACUCAGCUUGUUUUACAGAAUUUUCUUUUAUAAGGAAGCUUGUAGAUUAAUUGAAAUGUUUUACAAUUCAGGAUAUUGAAUGGAAUCCUCAACAUUAAAUGCCAGAAGGGACAUUAAGAAUAUAGAGAUUCCAAUUUACACUGGGGUAAAUUCUCAGCAGAUAUUUGUCUAAUUUGUUCUUUAAAACAUUAAUCUCUUCUUUAAAAGUCCAGAGCAGUAAAAACGUCAAAGACAACUGACCUUACAGAAAUCCUCCUAUUUACUGCAAGUAUGGAAUCUGCACUUUGGGGAAUACUUUGUUUUCCAGGUAUUCAUGUACUUUCUCUAAAGAUUUUCAGGUGUGUUGGAAUUUUUGAUAUACCAACAAGAAGCAUGCACCUGGUAUAAGAUGCCCUCACCCCUCCCAAAGUAAAAUAAAACUAAAUGGUAUAGUAAUAUUCCA